rnacentral:rRNA from 1 species
UUCGGACUGCAGCCUGCAACCCGGCUGCAUGAAGUCGGAAUUGCUAGUAAUCGCGGAUCAGCAUGCCGCGGUGAAUACGUUCCCGGGCCUUGUACACACCGCCCGUCACACCAUGGGAGCCGGUAAUACCCGAAGUCAGUAGUCCAACCUCGUGAGGACGCUGCCGAAGGUAGGAUUGGCGACUGGGGUGAAGUCGUAACAAGGUACC